rnacentral:lncRNA from 12 species
AGUAACAUCUAAACUACUUGUCUCCUUAACUUACAGGUAAAGAAAACAAAGACCCAGCUGGGAGAGACUAAAAUGCACCUACUUUCAAGCCCAAGCCUUCAGAGAGGAUUUUAAGACACUUUGGAUG